rnacentral:rRNA from 1 species
GCCUUCGGGUUCGCAUUGUAAUUUGUAGAGGAUGAUUUGGGGAAGCCGCCUGUCUAAGUUCCUUGGAACAGGACGUCAUAGAGGGUGAGAAUCCCGUAUGUGACAGGAAAUGGCACCCUAUGUAAAUCUCCUUCGACGAGUCGAGUUGUUUGGGAAUGCAGCUCUAAAUGGGAGGUAAAUUUCUUCUAAAGCUAAAUAUUGGCGAGAGACCGAUAGCGCACAAGUAGAGUGAUCGAAAGAUGAAAAGCACUUUGGAAAGAGAGUUAAAAAGCACGUGAAAUUGUUGAAAGGGAAGCGCUUGCAAUCAGACUUGUUUAAACUGUUCGGCCGGUCUUCUGACCGGUUUACUCAGUUUGGACAGGCCAGCAUCAGUUUCGGCGGCCGGAUAAAGGCUCUGGGAAUGUGGCCUCCACUUCGGUGGAGGUGUUAUAGCCCAGGGUGUAAUACGGCCAGCCGGGACUGAGGUCCGCGCUUCGGCUAGGAUGCUGGC